rnacentral:rRNA from 1 species
CCUGAAACCGUGUGCUUACAAGUAGUCAGAGCCCGUUAAUGGGUGAUGGCGUGCCUUUUGUAGAAUGAACCGGCGAGUUACGAUUUGAUGCAAGGUUAAGCAGUAAAUGUGGAGCCGUAGCGAAAGCGAGUCUGAAUAGGGCGUUUAGUAUUUGGUCGUAGACCCGAAACCAGGUGAUCUACCCUUGGUCAGGUUGAAGUUCAGGUAACACUGAAUGGAGGACCGAACCGACUUACGUUGAAAAGUGAGCGGAUGAACUGAGGGUAGCGGAGAAAUUCCAAUCGAACCUGGAGAUAGCUGGUUCUCUCCGAAAUAGCUUUAGGGCUAGCCUCAAGUGAUGAUUAUUGGAGGUAGAGCACUGUUUGGACGAGGGGCCCCUCUCGGGUUACCGAAUUCAGACAAACUCCGAAUGCCAAUUAAUUUAACUUGGGAGUCAGAACAUGGGUGAUAAGGUCCGUGUUCGAAAGGGAAACAGCCCAGACCACCAGCUAAGGUCCCAAAAUAUAUGUUAAGUGGAAAAGGAUGUGGCGUUGCCCAGACAACUAGGAUGUUGGCUUAGAAGCAGCCAUCAUUUAAAGAGUGCGUAAUAGCUCACUAGUCGAGUGACACUGCGCCGAAAAUGUACCGGGGCUAAACAUAUUACCGAAGCUGUGGAUUGUCCUUUGGACAAUGGUAGGAGAGCGUUCUAAGGGCGUUGAAGCAUGAUCGUAAGGACAUGUGGAGCGCUUAGAAGUGAGAAUGCCGGUGUGAGUAGCGAAAGACGGGUGAGAAUCCCGUCCACCGAUUGACUAAGGUUUCCAGAGGAAGGCUCGUCCGCUCUGGGUUAGUCGGGUCCUAAGCUGAGGCCGACAGGCGUAGGCGAUGGAUAACAGGUUGAUAUUCCUGUACCACCUAUAAUCGUUUUAAUCGAUGGGGGGACGCAGUAGGAUAGGCGAAGCGUGCGAUUGGAUUGCACGUCUAAGCAGUAAGGCUGAGUAUUAGGCAAAUCCGGUACUCGUUAAGGCUGAGCUGUGAUGGGGAGAAGACAUUGUGUCUUCGAGUCGUUGAUUUCACACUGCCGAGAAAAGCCUCUAGAUAGAAAAUAGGUGCCCGUACCGCAAACCGACACAGGUAGUCAAGAUGAGAAUUCUAAGGUGAGCGAGCGAACUCUCGUUAAGGAACUCGGCAAAAUGACCCCGUAACUUCGGGAGAAGGGGUGCUCUUUAGGGUUAACGCCCAGAAGAGCCGCAGUGAAUAGGCCCAAGCGACUGUUUAUCAAAAACACAGGUCUCUGCUAAACCGUAAGGUGAUGUAUAGGGGCUGACGCCUGCCCGGUGCUGGAAGGUUAAGAGGAGUGGUUAGCUUCUGCGAAGCUACGAAUCGAAGCCCCAGUAAACGGCGGCCGUAACUAUAACGGUCCUAAGGUAGCGAAAUUCCUUGUCGGGUAAGUUCCGACCCGCACGAAAGGCGUAACGAUUUGGGCACUGUCUCAACGAGAGACUCGGUGAAAUCAUAGUACCUGUGAAGAUGCAGGUUACCCGCGACAGGACGGAAAGACCCCGUGGAGCUUUACUGUAGCCUGAUAUUGAAAUUCGGCACAGCUUGUACAGGAUAGGUAGGAGCCUUUGAAACGUGAGCGCUAGCUUACGUGGAGGCGCUGGUGGGAUACUACCCUAGCUGUGUUGGCUUUCUAACCCGCACCACUUAUCGUGGUGGGAGACAGUGUCAGGCGGGCAGUUUGACUGGGGCGGUCGCCUCCUAAAAGGUAACGGAGGCGCUCAAAGGUUCCCUCAGAAUGGUUGGAAAUCAUUCAUAGAGUGUAAAGGCAUAAGGGAGCUUGACUGCGAGACCUACAAGUCGAGCAGGGUCGAAAGACGGACUUAGUGAUCCGGUGGUUCCGCAUGGAAGGGCCAUCGCUCAACGGAUAAAAGCUACCCCGGGGAUAACAGGCUUAUCUCCCCCAAGAGUUCACAUCGACGGGGAGGUUUGGCACCUCGAUGUCGGCUCAUCGCAUCCUGGGGCUGUAGUCGGUCCCAAGGGUUGGGCUGUUCGCCCAUUAAAGCGGUACGCGAGCUGGGUUCAGAACGUCGUGAGACAGUUCGGUCCCUAUCCGUCGUGGGCGUAGGAAAUUUGAGAGGAGCUGUCCUUAGUACGAGAGGACCGGGAUGGACAUACCUCUGGUGUACCAGUUGUCGUGCCAACGGCAUAGCUGGGUAGCUAUGUGUGGACGGGAUAAGUGCUGAAAGCAUCUAAGCAUGAAGCCCCCCUCAAGAUGAGAUUUCCCAACUUCGGUUAUAAGAUCCCUCAAAGAUGAUGAGGUUAAUAGGUUCGAGGUGGAAGCAUGGUGACAUGUGGAGCUGACGAAUACUAAUCGAUCGAAGACUUAAUCA